rnacentral:lncRNA from 1 species
GCUGCAGGCGCGCGCGCGGGCCGGUUUUGCUAGGGCGGUCGGGUGCGGUCAGGCGCGGUCGGUUCUGGGCUGGUUCGGCCCAAGCGGUCGGACCGGUCCGGUUUUCUCUUUUCUUUUCUUUUCUUUUUGCCUUUUUCUUAUUUCAUUGAUAACUUUUGAUUUAGACCUCCAAAUUGGUCCAAAUAAAUUCCAGAAAAUUUGUAAAAUCAUGUUUUACCAUGAUUCAACUUUUGGGAGUAAUUUCCUCUCAAAGUAAAAUAUACAAAAGUACCUUUGCCCUAUAAAUGCUUUUAGGGCUAUAUAACUAUUUAAAUAAAAUAGUUUUUCAACUCCAAAUAAUUAUCCAAAAAUUAUGGGAUAGCUCAUUUAUGCAAUAAACCCCUUUUAUAAAUAAAUCUUAUUGGUUUGAAAAUCCAAAGCUUAAAUGGGUGUAAGCCCUAGGGUUUAAAUUGAAAUAAAAUCUUUUCUAAGCCUUUUAAGAUUCAAAUUUGAAUUCAAAAAUGCAAUUGUGGCAUGAUGCUCAUGGAUGCAAUGCAUAUGAAAGGAUUUGAAAUUUUGGGAUGUUACAUGAACUGACGCCUGCAAAGGAGUCUGAGGCAGCCUCCCUGAUGGCUAGGAUGCACUCCCUUAUG